UACGAAGGGGGCUAGCGUUGUUCGGAAUUACUGGGCGUAAAGCGCACGUAGGCGGACAUUUAAGUCAGGGGUGAAAUCCCGGGGCUCAACCCCGGAACUGCCUUUGAUACUGGGUGUCUUGAGUGUGGAAGAGGCGAGUGGAAUUGCGAGUGUAGAGGUGAAAUUCGUAGAUAUUCGCAGGAACACCAGUGGCGAAGGCGGCUCACUGGUCCACAACUGACGCUGAGGUGCGAAAGCGUGGGGAGCAAACAGG
rnacentral:rRNA from 1 species